rnacentral:rRNA from 1 species
GACGAACGCUGGCGGCGUGCCUAAUACAUGCAAGUUGAGCGAUGAAGAUUGGUGCUUGCACCAAUUUGAAGAGCAGCGAACGGGUGAGUAACGCGUGGGGAAUCUGCCUUUGAGCGGGGGACAACAUUUGGAAACGAAUGCUAAUACCGCAUAACAACUUUAAACAUAAGUUUUAAGUUUGAAAGAUGCAAUUGCAUCACUCAAAGAUGAUCCCGCGUUGUAUUAGCUAGUUGGUGAGGUAAAGGCUCACCAAGGCGAUGAUACAUAGCCGACCUGAGAGGGUGAUCGGCCACAUUGGGACUGAGACACGGCCCAAACUCCUACGGGAGGCAGCAGUAGGGAAUCUUCGGCAAUGGACGAAAGUCUGACCGAGCAACGCCGCGGGAGUGAAGAAGGUUUUCGGAUCGUAAAACUCUGUUGGUAGAGAAGAACGUUGGUGAGAGUGGAAAGCUCAUCAAGUGACGGUAACUACCCAGAAAGGGACGGCUAACUUCGUG